UACGUAGGGGGCUAGCGUUGUCCGGAUUUAUUGGGCGUAAAGAGCGUGUAGGCGGCUUGGUAGGUCUCGCGUCAAAACCUGAGGCUCAACCUCAGUUCGCGUGGGAAACCACCUAGCUAGAGUCCGGAAGAGGAGAACGGAAUUCCCAGUGUAGCGGUGAAAUGCGCAGAUAUUGGGAAGAACACCAGUGGCGAAGGCGGUUCUCUGGGACGGUACUGACGCUGAGACGCGAAAGCGUGGGGAGCGAACAGG
rnacentral:rRNA from 1 species